rnacentral:lncRNA from 1 species
AUUUUUUCUUUAUAUUGAAUUUUUUGUUUUCCAGAGAUGAUGUUCUCUGCCUGUUAUUAUAAAAAUACUUCGUUUUGAGCUGGCCAUGACUGUGUUGUAUGAACAGUAUCACUCCUGAAUUGCUGCUGCAAUAUUUUGUGUUUAACCAGCUCCUAACCAAUGUUCACUCCUGCUUUGUCCAUCCCUGGUGAAGCUGCAUUCUCACCCUCUGAAAAUCAACACCAUUUUACCUGGCUGAUAAAAACGACCAAGUUCAAUAAAAGAUGCCAGAAAACUCAGAAGAGAAAACUACAAGAUUGA